GGACUGGAGGUUCCUGAGCAGGGGAGUCUCUGGGGGCUUGCCUGGGGCAGGCACUGCCAGCACGGGCUGGGAUCUUCCGUGGUGGCUGGGGACUGGUGCGUGGUGCCUGGUGGCCAGCAGUGGCCAGAGCUCGGGCCCAGGGCAGGAGGUGUCCUGCUGUACUGCCUGCAUCGGCAGGAAUCCUGCUAGUACAGCAGAAAGCUUCAAGAAAACUGUUAAAAAUCUGAAAUGCACACGGUGUGGUUCAUGGAAGGCUGGUUUUCUACAGGUUUGUUCCUGCUCUGUAGCAGUCCGGUUCAGGCAACGUGUUUCCCCCCCCCGUGGUGCAGGGGCUGCAGAAAUGCGCUGACAUCUCCCCCUACGCGACUGCUUCGUCUUUGGACUUUCCUCCCGAGGAGCCAGGCGGCACUGUCUUCAGGUGGCCAGGCCUCUGGAGCAGAGCAGGUGCCCUCCUUACCAUACAUCAGACGUGUCAGAAAGCCACAGCAUUGCAUCUGCACCUCCAAAACACGUUACAGGGGCAAUGACAAAGUGGCAGUGUUGUUCCCUGUGUUGUACUAAGCACAGCCUGGUAUGUCUGUGCCAGCAUCAUCCCUGGGCACACCUGGUUGUGUGGUCAGGGUUUGUCACCACAUUGCCUGGCUUGGCCUGCUCCAGAGCAAGGGCCAAAGGGGUUACAAAUUCUUUAGUUUCUGGCCUCACAGCACUGUUGGCAUUUGACCACCUUAGCUGCUGACACUAUAACUGGGAUGAUGGCCUUCCCCAACUACCCUACAAUUCCCCUGCUUCACUAUUUUCCGUGGUUAUUGUACAGUGGCACGUUCCUUCCCCCUGUAAGCACUGCAUGUGAUAUUUUGGGUCUAAAGCUUUGCAAGUAGCAAGCUCCUGAUGUUGCAGCCAUAUUACUGACCAAAGUCCUGCUUAUGGGAACUGGGCUUUCAGCUGCUCUCAGCUCCUUGUUGGAGCUGGGGUGCUGCCGCUGGCCAUGCUGUGAGGGCUCAGUGUGCAGGGGAGCAGUGGUGCUGCCCACAGAGCAGCUCCGAUGCCUUCAGCUGAGGUAGGUUGGCCUUGCAAUUUUUAGUCUUUGCUUGACUCUGAGUUCCAGCAGAGGCUGCAGGCCAGCUCAGCAGUGGCUGAAGGCAGGGUCCUGACCAGGGACCAAGCGCUUCUCUUGCUGGCAGCAAGGAGUCAUGAUCCCGAUCGAUAGCUGUGAAGGGAGCACUGGUGACAGGCAGAGCAGCCGUUCAGGCUGUCAGAUAUCUGAGUCAAAGAAUCGCUUAGGCUGGAAAAGACCCCUAAGAUCAUCAAGUCCAACUGAAUCCAUCAGUGCCUUUCCCUGGCAGUGUCACAGAUCCUGUGAAAUGGAAGGGACGUUAGCAAAGCUUUGCUGGCUUUGGGGAAGGCCCUUGGUCGAAGAAACCAUCUCUUGUAAUCUUCCCUGUUGAUAAACUCAGCCUGAGAUUGUCUCAGAAGAGCACUGCAAAAAAUGCUAUUAAAUGUGGAACUUAAAAGUUGUUUUGAUAACUCUAAAACAUUUCUUAAUAUGUAUUAGCCCCUGAGUUUGCAACAGAAGUUGGCUUUGAAAUAACCAAAUCUAUAUAUUAAAAAAAAAAAAAAAAAAGGAAAAAAUGUGUUUACAAUUUAAUGUUAAUGGUCCAAUUCUGUAAAUUUUGUGUUACAGCCUUUUCAUAAGAGCACUCUUCAAUGAUACAUUGCAUCUGUGGAAACAAUAUUGUUUUUAACUUCAGUCAUAUAUGCAACAUGUCAGAAAGGGAGCGUCUAUACUCAUAACAUCUUCCACAGUUAUUGAAUUUCUCAGGUUACAGAAGCCAUAACUAAAAAAACGUAUUUCUCAAAUAUUGUUUGAUUCAUAAAGUUCUUAACUGCUCAGUUAUUGCGUGCUAAUGUUCAUGACACUGGUGUAAUUGAAGCAGUAAGAGGUUUCUCUUCAUUUAGUGCCAAAACAAAUAUGAAACAUUAAACCCCUGUGGGUGCAGAUUAUUGCAAGCACAGGCUGAUGGGUUAGAAAUUGUUGAAAGAUGAGAUUUCUGAUGACUAGUAUUGCUUCAGUUGUCAAAAAAUCUUGACUAUGAAAUGAACCCUUUUUGGUAAUUGACGAGGUACUUUUUAGAUAGCGUACAAUGGUUCUUCCUCUCUCUCAUCUAAUUUUAUUGAUUAAAGUACACGGUGCUUCUGGGGUUUCAACUUUCUAAUGUCUAAAACCCUUGAAAACCUAAUUAGUGACAUUCUUUGAGCGAUUUCCAGAUUUUGAGAAUUUGGAUGCAUUUUAAAAAAAAAAAAAAAUUUUUUUUACUGAUAUUUAAAAUGUAUCAUCCUCUAAAAGAAACAUUUUGGAAAAAUCUGUACAAGCUCGUCUCUCUCAGCUUGCAGAGGUUCUGAGGAAGUUUGUUAUUAUGGAGAUAUCUAGAAAAGGAAUAUGUUGCAAAAGACGGAUCGAGCAGAACUACUUGAUUUAUGCGUGUUUCUAAUACAUCCUUGCCACGUGCUUUCUUGUAGCUUUUUGGUUUGUCUGCAAGACUGUAAAAUGUAAUUCCUCCUGUAAGAAAUUUAUAAAAGAACUUCCUAGGUUAUUUUAUUAAAAUCAUUGAGACUAAAAUGUUGAUGUGUAAUCUUUGGAUAGAUUUGAAAAUAAAUUCUCAGUAAACCUUUAAAAAGUAA